UACAUACAUCAACUGAUUCUCUAUGUUCUUUUGCAUUCGAUCUCUCAACCUGCUUACUGCUACUAUCCUCCGGAUAUUCCUCAAGCAACUUGUCUAGCUUCACAGAUCUCUACCGAGCGUCCCGAUCGUUAGAAAUCCACCGAACCCGUCUUCAUGAUCAAACUCGAGUUCCUCAUCAGCUUCUGGUGGUUUCGGGUCAUGAGAUGGUCCAUAGAAGGAGAAGGAGUUUGUACGGAUGUCUUGGACUUCAGAUGAAACCCGAGCUCUUAAGCAACAGAAAUUACCUGAAAGAUUGAUUGUUCUUUUAUAUAUAUAAUUUAACCAAAAGCAUAUUAUGUAUAACGUUGUAUGAAGAUGAAGAUUGAAAAGGUUUUAUGCAAGAGAAAAGUUUUGUUAUCA